rnacentral:lncRNA from 1 species
CUUCAAUAAUGAGUAGAAUUAAAAUGUCAGAAUUUGAGAGGUAGAACUACCCUAGGUUUCAUUUAGCACAACGAAAACAUGUCAUAAAUAAAUACAAAUGAUAAGUGAUUUGCCCAGUGUCAUAAAGAUACUUAGUGGCAGAAGAAAAUUUUAACUCCAAAUUUCUGACCUCUUUUUCUGUUCCAUAAUACUCCUAUAUUUUGAGUAUGAAAUUUUGAAUAAAUAUGAGGCUAAGACACAUUUGUUAAUUUCUCUUAAUGUGCAAUCAGGAAAUUGAAAUAAGGGCUUUCAAUAAGCAAACACAGCUCCUAGUAACAUGACCAAAGAGCCUUAUAAUACUUUUACCAUGAUGUGGUAUCCAUACCUCCCCAGCUUAUUUUCUUUGGAUCUCAAAAUGGAUACUUUGCCUGUCUCCUAUUGCUAUUAAUUGCCACAUACAUCUCUUUGUGUGAUUUGCUUGGCAGCCCUGAAAACAGCUGGCUGUCUGGUUGGAUCAGUCCCCCGUGGCAAACUCAGGACUCUGCGUUCCCAGUACUGGCUCACAGAAUCUGGUUGAAUCACGAAAAGGAAGCUGGACUUGUGAGGAUGGAAGGGAUCUGAGAAGACCGGAAGAACAAUGGUGAAGUAAAGUAGAAAAAGUGAGAACACUGGGUGGUCCAGUCUGAUGGAGAUUCAUCUGGAUGCAAAAUGUGAAGACAAGCCUUCAGUUCCCUUCUUGACCACCAGCAUGGAACUAAACAAUUAAACCUGUCAGAAAAAAAAAAGCUGCUGUAUUUUAAGGUAACAGAGACAUGGACUUUUUAAGGUAACAGAGACAUGGACUUGAGAAGACAACUUGGCUCAAUUCCUAGCUCUGCAACUUACUUACUAGGUUUGUGUCUUUGGACUGCAUCCUAACAAACAACUGUGUCAAGACAUUUGAACAGCAUAUUCUACACAAAUAAAAAGGAAAUGAUAAAGAUAAAAGAAAUUAAUAGAAUGGAAAGUGAUGGAGAUAAACAAGUGAAAAGAUGGUCCUUUGAAAAGACUAAAACAUGGCCAAUGCACUGGCAAGAAUGAUUGGGACAAUAAACAAAAUAUAUAUGCCAGGGCAGCUCCCGGCGAGAUCGACGCAAAAGAUGCCAUCAAAGUUAACCAAUUUCAACCAUUAAUUUAUUCCAUAGUGCUCAUGAAGUUUUACACAGUGCCAUAUUGAGAAGCAAGACAUCUGAUGAUGGAGCAGAGUUCCUUUGUGACUAGAAGAGAUAAAAUCCUUAUAAAAUGCAGAAGACUUGUCAAAAUUAUUUUUUAUCUUAUACUAAAUUAUAGUCUGUAAAGAAAAUCCACACAGAGUAAAAGAUAAACGGUAUGACUUAGGCACAAAGUCAAUUACAUCAUGAAUACAAAGAAAUUCAUUAAUAUUAUUACUGAAUUCCAUAGUAAAUAUGAAGUGGUCAGAUAUGCUGCAUAGGGGGAUGCAACUGACUGGUAGUUUUCUCCUCUAAAUUUGUUGUACUUUUCUCCCUGGUCAUAUAGGCUAACCCAAUUGAAGACAAUAUUCCCAGCCUCCUUUGUAGGUAGCCAUGUUUGGACACUCAACUAAAUUCUUGCUAAUAAAAUAUAAGCGUAAACAAUUUUUUCUGAAUCUGAACUUUCCCUAUUUCCUAUUCCCUUUUGGUUAAAGCCAAAUGAGGCAGUGAACAACUAUGACCAUGCAGAAGAAAUCUAUAUGCUAGGGAAUGAUGCUACACCAGUGUCGAAAGUAUCUACACCACUGUAUACCAUGAUUGAGCUGAGCCACACCUUUAGCCUAUUGAGCUCAUCUGAGAAAUAAAUAUGCUUUUGUCUACUUU